UUUUUUUUUUCUUUUUUUUUUUUUUUUUUUGGUUUUCGAGACAGAGUUUCUCUGUGUAGCUCUGGCUGUCCUGGAACUCACUCUGUAGACCUCGAACUCAGAAAUCCACCUGCCUCUGCCUCCCAAGUGCUGGGAUUAAAGGCAUGCGCCAUCACUGCCUGGCUUUAAAUUAUUUCUUAAUCGGCUAAAAUACCUCUAGAUGCUAGUUGUAAAAUUCAAGGCCUUCCUAUGUAUCCCUACUGUUAUGGAUCAUAAUAAUGUAUCAAAUACUUGAAAAUUACUUAUGAGACCUUAUUUUAGUGUUCUUAUCACAAAAAAAGGUAUGUAGGAUGAUGAAUAUGUUAUUCUUCAUUUUGCUACUCCAAGAUUUACGCAAAUAUCAACACUUUUCUGUAUAGCAAAAAUAUAUGCACUUAAAAAUCUGGCAGGUAACAAUAAUAAUAUCUUGUUACCCAAGUCUGUGUUAUGAUCUGAGUCCUCCAUAGGCUCCUAUGCUUGAACUCUUGGUCUCUAGUUCAUGGCACUGUUUUGGGAGUCUGUGGGUUCUUUGGGGACUUGGGGGCCAGCUGGUGGAAAUAGAUCACAAGUGAUGGGUCUUGGUGGUGUUAUCUGUUUCUGAUUCCAGUCUGUGUCCUGUGCUUCAACUGGCCAUGCCUGAGAGACCCUCUACCACAGGCUCUCAACACCAUGCCCUUCCCUCUCUGAUGGACUGGGACUACUGACAUCACCAGCCAAAAGAAAUCUUUGCUCCUACAGGUUGUUUCUGGCAGUUAUUUUGUAACAGGCACAAGAAAAAAUAGCUGAGAGAGUCUUCUUAGGCUCAUCUAAAGCGUGCUGCUCAUCUACAUAAUGAGUAGACCCACAGAGCUUCAUUGUGGAUGUGUAUAAAACUGUUUGUAAGCUGGGAUUAAAGAAGAGGACCUUGGCAUAAUCUAAGUAAGAGUUCUAUGGAGGCAUGAGCAAAUUAAAGGACUGUAAUGGUUUGAAUAGGUAUGGCCCCCAUAGACUCAUGUGUUUAAAUGUUUGGCUCAUAGGGAGUGUCACUAUUAGGAGGUGUGGCCUUGUUGGAUUAGGUGUGGUCUUGUUGGAAGAAGUGUGUCAUUGUGGAGGCAGGCUUUGCAGUCUCAUAUAUGCUAAAGUCUGUCUAAUGACAGUUUCUUACCUGCUGCCUUCGGAUCAAGAUGUAGAACUCUCAGCUCCUCGAGCACCAUAUCUGUCUGCAUGCUACUAUGCUUCCUGCCAUGAAGAUAAUGAACUAAACCUCUAAAACUAUAAGCCAGACCCAAUGAAAUGUUUUUCUUUGUAAAGAGUUGCCUUGGUCAUGGUGUCUCUUCACGGCAGUAAAACCCUAACUAACUAAGACAAGGACCAAAGUCCAUUUGUCAUGGCUGUGAUAGAAUAUCUGUGCGUUUUAUCCCUACAGGGUGGGGAUAUAGCUAGAGGUGAGAUCAGAGAAAAAGAAGGCAAGACUAUGAUCCGUAAGGCCUUAGCAGUCGCAGUAGCAUUGCCUUUAUUCUGAGAGGUUAAGGUCUUUUCUCUCCCCGCCUCCCCAAGCAUUACACAAUUGCAUUUACCUUUUGGAGAAACUGUGAAGCUGAAAUGAGUUUCAGGUGGCGAAGUUGGAGGAGGAACUUGAAUUAACAAGCAGUUGUGGUGAUUCAGGUAGAAGCUGAGGUUGCUGAGCAGCCAUGAUGAAGAGACAGAGGAUGAAGGGUUUGGAAGGUCUGUGGGAACAUUGGUGAUGGGUUUGGUUUGUUAGAGGGAGGAAGGAAGGGAAAGAGAGAGAG
rnacentral:lncRNA from 1 species